CCCCCACUGCGAGACACGAUGUCGCGCUCCACCAUUCGGCGCUUUGUUCUGCAGAACAUCAUCGCCGUGGCGGCGCACUGCCCCUCCACCGCCAUCGCCUCGGCAGCUGUGGCAGUCAUGACGGGCGGCACGGGGCCUGCGUCGGCCUCUGCUGCCUCGUCCUCCUCGACAGUCAGCUGGGUGCAGCGCAUGCUCGUCAAGAAGCACGCGGGUUCGACAUCCGCGUCCUCCUCGCACUUUGCGCUUGUCACGGAGGCGGAGAUGGAGUGGAUCCGGCGGUGCCGUCGAGAGGACGCCGAGGAGAGCCGCGUCGUCCUAGCCACAUGCCCGAGUCGCUCCGUACUGCGCGGCAUUGGCGGCGGCGCUCUCAACGUGGUUCUCGGCUUUGUCAUCUCACCUCUCGUCUUCCUCGCCGUUUCCCUGGAGCGUGUACGACUGGGCAGCGGCUUGAGUGCGCUGUGGACGGCACCAUGCUACGGUCUCCUAUGGGGCGGCGUCUUCCUCGCCUGCGCCCAGUACGCGGCGGUGCAGCAGGUGACUCUCAGCUCCUACUACGGCUGCGUGGCGACGCCCCUGUACUACUGCGUGAACCGGCGUCCCACGGCGGAUGUCUCCGCGUCGGCGUCGACUGGUGCGCCACGCGCACGCGCGUGGACGUGGAACGGGCUCCGCGGCUGCUUCGAGGCACCGCAGGGAACGCCGAACGCCCGCCAUCCGCUCCUACAGCUCUACGAAGACCCAUCGGUGUUGCGCGAGCGUGCCAUGAAACGUGUUACCCGUCGGGACAAGGACAAGAUCAAGAGGAAGGCCAAGUACAGCGGCAAAGCCAAGAUGAGCGGCACAGACGGCGUCGCGGACGACGACUAUUACGGUCUGCUUGGCGUGCCAACCGAUGCCACGGCGCGGCAGAUCAAGGAGGCCUACAAUCAAAAGGUGCUCCACAUCCACCCAGACCGCAACCCGAGCCCGGAUGCUGCGCAGCAGUUCGACCGCAUUACGAAGGCCUACCGCGUCCUGUCGAGCCCGCAGAAGCGCAGGAAGUUCGACCUCGGCGGUACAGAGGGCGUCGAAGACACCGGCGCUAAAAAGCGCGACGCCGUCCGUGCCCUUUUCGGUGGUGAAGAGGUGCACCGCAUCGCUGGGGACGUGUUCAUGAGCAGCUUCUCGCAGCGCGUGAUUGACGGCCUCGACUACACCGGCGAAGAGCUUGCGGUGCUGCGCCAGCACAUGCACGAGCAGUGCCGGGAUGAGCUGCUGAGCAAUUACCUAGUGCACUACGACGCAGCAGCGGCGGCAUCAGAGACAGCGGCGGCCAGCAGGAAGGUGGCGGAUGCGAAGAAGCGCAGCGGCAGCUGCAGAGGCCCCUGGAAAGGCGAUGCUCUUGCCAUCCGGCUGCACAAUAUCCUCAGCACCGGGCUUGCGAAAGAAGUGCUGCAUACCAUCGGCCAUGAGUACAAGCGAGUCAUUGCCUAUUACGACAUCGAGAGGAGGCGGCCCAGCGGCAGCGUUGAGGCCGGAGAGGCGAACAGCGGCGCGUCACCAUCGCCUGUCCGCGAUGCAGUAGCGCCUCACUCGAAGAGCUUGUCUCUCCCUUUCCUCGCGGUGGCUCGCGCGAAGCUCUACUUCAAGACAGUCGGUCCGCACCGCUGGCAGGUGCGGCGACAGAAAUUCAAGUAUCUUGCCACGGUGCGUGGCCGUACCUUCAAGGACUCGGAGGCCAUGGUGGAUCUGGCGUGGUACACGUCUGUGCAAGAGCUGGAGGCGACGGCGCGCACCGUCGCUCUCGCGCUUCUGUACGACCCGCAGCUGCCGGCGGCCGAGGCCGAACGCCGACGGAACGCGCUGGAGGCUCUGGCAGACACGUUUAUUCUUUAUGGCCAGCCGUACAAGGGUGCGAAUAAAUCCACCAUGAACCAACUGAUGAACUCGAUGCGCGAGUAUCAGCAGCAGAGGCAGCGCGAGAAGGACGCUCAGUAGUGCGGUUGCUUAGUGCUUUUAUCGUGGCGCGCUUCGCAGCACCGCGGAUUGCAAGGGAAGAGGAGAGUCGGCGUGCAGGUAGCGGAGAGCGGCGAGGAGAGAUAAGAUGGUGCGUGUUCGCCGGGGAGCUCGUGUCUGAAACGAGAUCGUCGGCUCAGCAUCCAUUCACUGGUUCUUUGCCCCAUUGCCCCUCUUCUCCCCAUCUCUCUGUCUGCCUCCCAUGCCUGUCUUAGGCGUGCGUCCGACCACAAAUCUUGCCGGCGUCCAAUGUGUGCGCAUCCGCUCCUCUUCACGUAAGUGACAUAACAGACAAGCGCG
rnacentral:misc_RNA from 1 species